rnacentral:rRNA from 3 species
UCCGUAGGUGAACCUGCGGAAGGAUCAUUAAUGAAGCACAAGAGCGCACUUUAUAUUGUGGCUCGACCUUCAUAUCCACCCACCCUGUGCACCGUGUACCUUUUUUAUUCAGACUCUACAAGUCGAUGAAUGUACUACUUAUAAAGUAAACAAAACUUUCAACAACGGAUCUCUUGGUUCUCGCAUCGAUGAAGAACGCAGCGAAAUGCGAUAAGUAAUGUGAAUUGCAGAAUUCAGUGAAUCAUCGAAUCUUUGAACGCACCUUGCACCUUUUGGCAUUCCGAAAGGUACAUCUGUUUGAGUGUCAUGAAUCCCUCAACCCCUGCACUUUCUUGUAGAGUGUGGGAGCGUUGGAUGCUGAGCGCUGCUGUUAGUCGACAGCUCGCUUCAAAUGUAUAAGCAAUCUUGAUGGUGAUCGGAUUGACCCGACGUGAUAAGAUCUUCGUUGGGGAUGCUCUCUGCAGCAGCCGGACAGCUAUACAAGUCGCUUCCAAAUCGUGGCUUGCCACACCCCCUUUAAUUUAGACCUCAAAUCAGAUGGGACUACCCGCUGAACUUAAGCAUAUCAAUAAGCGGAGGA